UUUUCUUUUCUUUCUUUCUUUUUCUUUUUCUUUUUUUUUUUGUUUCCCUCUCUUGAGUAUUUCGACUUCUAGUGGUCCGGUGCUCCACAUAAUUGUUUGCAAUUAUCUGACAACGCAACCCAACUUUGGUUGUUCUUUACAUAAAUUACCAUGAA
rnacentral:ribozyme from 1 species